UGUAAUUAACAAUAGAUGUUAGCAUGUAUUGUUGAGAAACUUGAUGUGUGCUGUCUCAUUUGGCGAUUACACGUUACUUAGUCACACAUUCUACACUUCAGCAGCGCCAAAUUCCCCUUUGGCGACUUUUAGUAUUAAAUUCGUUUUCUUUCGAAAUCGAAACAACAUGUUCUACAUGUUCCACUGUAUACGUUCAUCGAAUUUUGUUACAUUUAGUUCACAGAUGUGCUUAUUCUUCAUCAUUCAAGUUUUUGCGAUUAUUGAAAUUAAUAGUAAUACAAAUUUAGAAUAGUAAGAGAAUGGUCGGCUGGAUUUUUUUUGUCAGCAGAUGACGCCACUUUCCACUCAGUUAGAGUACUAAGUGGCGGGGCGAAACAAGCCC
rnacentral:lncRNA from 1 species